rnacentral:lncRNA from 1 species
UGACCUCACUUCCUUGGUGACAGGUUCCAACAGAACUUGGAACCCUGGAGUCACCGGGCACCACAGUCUCACCAAGGUUGCCUAACAGUCCCUUGGCUGGAGAGAGUCAGCAGUGAACAUGCUGUGCUGCUGUCCCAGGGCUCCAGGCUGCAGCCUCAGGACCCCACAGAGGGAAAGCACUUGGGAACAAGUGAGAGGUUGGCUAAGUCUAGAUGCUACAGGCCACGCACCAGGAACCACCCAGUGCUCAUGGGCAGCAUAGGGCAGGUCUCACCACAUCCAGAGACCUCGGGGCCUGAGAUGAGAGGGAGCCCAGGGCAGGUCUCCCUGGGCCUGGCCACCAGGCACUCUGAGCAACCGAGUCCAGGGCAAGAACAUUUAGGCCUGCCCACCACUCCUCCACCUUGGCCAGGGGCAAGGUCACCACCCACAGGCUGGACACCCAAGAACGGGACUUGGACAAGGUGUCACUUCAAUCCUGCCAUGAAUUCAUUCGGCCAUUUCACCUCACUGUAA